rnacentral:rRNA from 1 species
CCUACGGGAGGCAGCAGUGAGGAAUAUUGGUCAAUGGACGCAAGUCUGAACCAGCCAUGCCGCGUGCAGGAAGAAGGUGCUAUGCAUUGUAAACUGCUUUUAUACGGGGGUAAUUACAGAUACGUGUAUCUGGAUGAAAGUACCGUAUGAAUAAGGAUCGGCUAACUCCGUGCCAGCAGCCGCGGUAAUACGGAGGGUCCGGGCGUUAUCCGGAUUUGUUGGGUUUAAAGGGUGCGUAGGCGGUCUGGUAAGUUCGAGGUGAAAGCUCUAUGCUGAAACUCGAAACUGCCUCUGAUACUGUCUGACUUGAGUGCAGUUGGGGAAAGUGGAAUGCGAGGUGUAGCGGUGAAAUGCGUAGAUAUAACACAGAACACCGAUUGCGAAGGCAGCUCUCCAAUCUAUUACUGACGCUGAGGCACGAAAGCGUGGGGAGCGAACAGGAUUAGAUACCCGGGUAGUC